rnacentral:rRNA from 1 species
UACGUAGGGACCGAGCGUUGUCCGGAUUCAUUGGGCGUAAAGAGCUCGUAGGCGGCCACUCAAGUCGAAUGUGAAACCUCGAGGCUUAACCUCGAGCCUGCAUUCGAUACUGGGCGGCUAGAGUCUGGUAGGGGGAUCUGGAAUUCCUGGUGUAGCGGUGAAAUGCGCAGAUAUCAGGAGGAACACCGGUGGCGAAGGCGGGUCUCUGGGCCGGUACCGACGCUGAGGAGCGAAAGCGUGGGGAGCGAACAGG